AUGGAUUCCCUCACAAACGGUGAGGUUGCUGAUUCUGAGACUCAGGUCACUCCCUUUGCUAAAGCUGGGUUUUUCAGCAAGAUGUCAUUUUGGUGGUUGAAUCCUCUAAUGAAGAUCGGUUACAAGAAACCCCUUGAGGACAAAGACAUGCCACUUUUAGGUGCCACAGAUCGAGCAUGCAACCAGUACUCGAUGUUCAUGGAGAAAAUGAAUGGCAAGGAGUCGCUAUCACACGCCACACCGUCAUUCUUCUGGACAAUUGUUUCUUGUCACAGGCGCGCAAUCUUGGUCUCAGGAUUCUUUGCUUUGCUCAAGGUUCUCACCUUAUCUGCUGGCCCAGUAAUCCUCAAGGCGUUCAUCAAUGUAUCACUUGGGAAAGGGACCUUUAAACACGAAGGCUAUGUGCUAGCUGCGUUAAUGUUCAUCUGCAAAUUCUGUGAAUCCCUGUCACAGAGACAGUGGAAUUUCCGCACUCGGAGAUUAGGACUGCAGGUGAGGUCACUCCUGUCAGCAGCUAUUUAUAAGAAACAGCAGAAGCUAUCAAAUGCAGCAAAAAAGAAGCACUCUUCUGGAGAAAUUUUGAACUAUGUGACUGUUGAUGCCCAUCGGAUUGGGGAAUUCCCAUUCUGGUUCCAUCAGACAUGGACAACAAGUGUUCAGCUUUGCAUUGCUCUGGCUAUUCUAUACAAUGCGGUUGGUGCUGCAAUGGUUUCAUCUUUGGUCGUUAUUAUUAUUGCUGUACUGUGCAAUAUUCCAUUGGCCAGACGGCAACACAAAUUUCAGAGUAAACUUAUGGAAGCACAAGAUGUGAGAUUGAAGGCCAUGUCCGAGUCAUUUGUUCAUAUGAAGAUCUUGAAACUUUAUGCAUGGGAAGCUCACUUCAAGAAGGUUAUCGAGGGGUUGAGAGAGGUUGAGUACAAGUGGUUGUCCGCAUUUCAGUUUAGGAGGGCAUACCAUAGUUUCCUGUGUUGGGCAUCACCUAAUUUUGUUUCUGCAGCGACCUUUCUAACAUGCUAUCUUUUGAAGACCCCUCUUGAUGCUAGCAAUGUCUUCACUUUUGUGGCAACCCUGCGUCUCGUGCAAGAGCCAGUUAGGUCAAUACCAGAUGUUAUCCGCGUUGUGAUACAAGCUAAGGUCGCUUUCACUCGAAUAUCGAAGUUCCUUGAUGCAUCUGAGCUUAAUGGGCAAGUUAGGAAAAAAAUACAACAUUGGCACUGA
rnacentral:rRNA from 1 species